CAGGGGUCCUGGGACCUGGAACCUCCCCUUUCUUCUCCCCUUGCUGAGCCACUGAAGGUUCCAGAACCACCCUGGGUUGACCCCUGACUCCCUGGUGUCUCCUGGCCCCUGGCGGCCAGGGGCUCCGCAGACUGCAGUAGAGCACUGAGACCGGAGGUCAGUGCCCUCUGGGGCCAAGGUUGAGAGGGCUAGAUGCUUUCCACACCUCACUCUCAUGGCACCACAUGAGAGCCACCAUGAGGCCUGGAGGCUGGUUCAGGGCCAUGGGUUCCCCGAAGGGCCGGCCACUUCACUGUCUCUUGCUCUGUUCCCAAAAGAAAGAGAUUAGCCAAGAACGACCAAGUCUGUGACCAACCUGGAGGACAAGUCGUUUGCGGGAAGAACUUAACGUCUAUGGAUUGUCUGUUCAUGACCAGACAGUCCAGGCCU